GCGCGUGUAGCUCAGUUGGUAGAGCGUUCGUCUUAUACACGAAUGGCCGGGGGUCCGAAUCCCUCCACGCGCA
rnacentral:tRNA from 1 species